GCUCACCAAACCUACGAUGGAUAGGGGUUCUGAGAGGAAGGUCCCCCACACUGGUACUGAGACACGGUCCAGACUCCUACGGGAGGCAGCAGUGAGGAAUAUUGGUCAAUGGGCGCGAGCCUGAACCAGCCACGUCGCGUGAAGGAUGACGGCCUUAUGGGUUGUAAACUUCUUUUACAGGGGAAUAAAGUGAGUCACGUGUGAUUUUUUGCAUGUACCCUGUGAAUAAGCAUCGGCUAACUCCGUGCCAGCAGCCGCGGUAAUACGGAGGAUGCGAGCGUUAUCCGGAUUUAUUGGGUUUAAAGGGUGCGUAGGCGGGAUAUUAAGUCAGCGGUGAAAGUUUUCGGCUCAACCUUAAAAUUGCCGUUGAAACUGUGGUUCCUGAGUGCAGAAGAGGUAGGCGGAAUUCGUUGUGUAGCGGUGAAAUGCGUAGAUAUAACGAAGAACACCAAUUGCGUAGGCAGCUUACCAUACUGCAACUGACGCUGAGGCACGAAAGUGUGGGUAUCAAACAGGAUUAGAUACCCUGGUAGUCCACACAGUAAACGAUGAAUACUAGCUGUUUGCGAUACACUGCAAGUGGCCGAGCGAAAGC
rnacentral:rRNA from 1 species